AUUCCUAACAGUUCUUCUUCUUCUUACAAGAUUCAUUAAGAGGGGGACACGUGACUAGCCGGGACCAGUAACCGCUACGGAUAUCCUACAAUUACGAGCACCACCUUUGUGUGGCCUUUCAUCUACUCUAGUCAUCGCUCUAAGCGAUGGCCGAUGAACGAGAAGCCUCACGGUGCAUGAGCUCACUUUGCUUGUGAUUUGUUCCUGUCAUCCAUCAUACCGAUCUGCCAUGACAACAGAUGCAUCGCGGGUUGUCUUUACGACUCCCGGGCCACCUACUUCUCACCACCUCUCGGCAGACAGACAACAGGUUCAAAAACACGAAAGCGGUUUUGUUUUAAACAAGCAGAUAUACUCAAAAUUAUCACUAACCAAAAAGAAACACCAAAACGUUCGACACAAAGGCAAACAAGGAAAUAACUGCUGAGAUUUCGUUCAACCAACAGGGAUACCCUCACCCAUACGUAAUGGAAUAUGUGUAGAUGAGUGGAUCCAGUUUUACGCAACUGGAACGAACUCACUCAGGUUCACGUCGGACAGUCUUCUUCUCUGCCGUCGACUUUCUCAAACUCCAGUGUUUCUCUUCCGGAAACCUUCUGGCCCGGUUCUGGUGGCUGUAUUCCUUGCCGGCUUACCAGCUCCGGCUCCCCCCGAUGUCCCCAUACACCAUCGAGCCUCCCUGGACUUCCGCUAGAUGGCGCGUCGCCCUCAGCCCUGGCCACCUAUCAUUCAGGUGGGACUGGAACAUAUUCAUUAUAGUGUCCCUUAUAUGGGGGAAAAAUUUUUUUUUCCGAAUUCAAUCACGCAUACCCUCGUAUUUUUUUCCUUUUGCCUUAAAGUAUAUGUGUUUUAGAUAUUAUUUGAAAAUUUUGUCAUUAACCCAUGCCGAAUCCCACUCAAAGUUUUACAUAUGUGAAAGGCUUUUGAGAUAUUUUACUUUGUCACCGAUUUUUACAUAUAAAAUAUAUUAUAGGUAAAAUUUUAAUCAAUGUA